rnacentral:rRNA from 1 species
GACGAACGCUGGCGGCGUGCUUAACACAUGCAAGUCGAACGGAAAGGCCCUGCUUUUGUGGGGUGCUCGAGUGGCGAACGGGGGAGUAACACGUGAGUAACCUGCCCUUGACUUUGGGAUAACUUUAGGAAACUGGGGCUAAUACCCGAUAGGAGCUCCUGCUGCAUGGUGGGGGUUGGAAAGAUUCGGCGGUUGGGGAUGGACUCGCGGCUUAUCAGCUUGUUGGUGGGGUAGUGGCUUACCAAGGCUUUGACGGGUAGCCGGCCUGAGAGGGUGACCGGCCACAUUGGGACUGAGAUACGGCCCAGACUCCUACGGGAGGCAGCAGUGGGGAAUAUUGCACAAUGGGCGGAAGCCUGAUGCAGCAACGCCGCGUGCGGGAUGACGGCCUUCGGGUUGUAAACCGCUUUCGCCUGUGACGAAGCGUGAGUGACGGUAAUGGGUAAAGAAGCACCGGCUAACUACGUG